ACGGCUGAAAACAUUAUGUGGGCAUGCAGCUUAAUUUGUAUAUAAACGUCCUUGAACCCUAAAAUCAGCAAUCAAUCGAAAGGAUCUCUCGCUCGCAAACAUGUUGUCAACGGUUUUCUCUGUCACAAAGGCCAUGUCCUGGCAUGCAAUUUCGGAUGCCACUACCUACGCCAUGAUUGGUGGAUCUAUGACCUACUUUUUAUACCAUACGGUCCCGUUGUUCGUAAAAGUCGUCAUAUCGGAAAGGGCUGCAAACGAGGAGAUGGAGCGAUGCUGGCUUCAUUGCAGGGAGACGGAGCGAUGCUGGCGCACUUCUCCAUCCAAGUAACACCCUUCUGUUCUAAAUGGGUGCAAUAUAUGGUAAUGUGAUGUGAUGGGUGUUGGAGGAUGACUAUCUCUUGAAUAGUUUUAAGACCUUGUAAGAGAGUUAUAUAUUUAUUUGAUGUUUGUAGUCAUGAAAACCUAUCCAUCUGAGAUAUCGAUGACCGAUAUUGUGCAGUGUGCUUUUGCUACGUCUAUAUAUUGUCGGCUUUUGCUUACUUUGGCAGUGUGUGUUAGGCA